rnacentral:rRNA from 1 species
GUCGAGGGGCAGCGGUGGUGAAGGCUUGCCUUUACCAGCCGGCGACCGGCGCACGGGUGAGUAACACGUAUGCAACCUGCCUGCCACAGCCGGAUAAUCGGGAGAAAUUCCGUCUAAUACGGCAUAAUGCACCUAUGGGACAUCCUGUUGGUGCCAAAGGUUAAUUCCGGUGGCGGAUGGGCAUGCGUCGCAUUAGUUAGUUGGCGGUGUAACGGACCACCAAGACGACGAUGCGUAGGGGUUCUGAGAGGAAGGUCCCCCACACUGGUACUGAGACACGGACCAGACUCCUACGGGAGGCAGCAGUGAGGAAUAUUGGUCAAUGGGCGGGAGCCUGAACCAGCCAAGUCGCGUGAGGGAUGACGGCCCUAUGGGUUGUAAACCUCUUUUGCCGGGGAGCAAAGUGCCGCACGUGUGCGGUUUGGAGAGUACCCGGAGAAAAAGCAUCGGCUAACUCCGUGCCAGCAGCCGCGGUAAUACGGAGGAUGCGAGCGUUAUCCGGAUUUAUUGGGUUUAAAGGGUGCGUAGGCGGACGCUUAAGUCAGCGGUAAAAUUGCGGGGCUCAACCUCGUCGAGCCGUUGAAACUGGGUGCCUUGAGUGGGCGAGAAGUACGCGGAAUGCGUGGUGUAGCGGUGAAAUGCAUAGAUAUCACGCAGAACUCCGAUUGCGAAGGCAGCGUACCGGCGCCCAACUGACGCUGAAGCACGAAGGCGUGGGUAU